CUAUAAGGGGAGGAACUUUAACUAAGGGGGUAUGUGAGUCACUUCAGGCGCUGCUGCGGGUCUUUUCCACUCAGCCUAGGAAGGGAGUAAGACCUGUGAGGGCUUUAGUCUUUAAACAGCGCGGCAUGGCAGCAAAAAAGACCGAAACGCUCGGGUCUACUCCACUGAGUGUUUCCGAGGACGGCGGUCCGGAGUGAACCGGUGGGGUUGGGUGACAGUGAAGAGGCCGAAGAAUGGACAGUGCUGUGCUUAGCGGACUGAAGGCUGGCUGAAUUCAGCCAGAGGACAGUGUGAUCAACCGGAGAUCAAAACAGGAAAACAGCUGGUGGGGUUGCGGAGUCUAGAAGUGUUUCACAUGGCCCCAAGAGAGGUUUUCAUACUGGUCUGAGAUCAGCCUGAUGUGGGCCGGCAGAUGGUCAUCUAGUUUCUUUAUGGUGCCCCAGCAGGCUGUAUUCAAAUAUUGACACUAGAUGGGAAGUUGCUGCCCACAACCUUCGCAGAACAAACCAGAGCUAGAUCGUUUUAUGGAUGUCUUGAGUUGUCAAUUAAACCCCCCCCAUAUUUGCUGAAUAAAAGGUUAACUCUU